ensembl:lncRNA
UGAAAGGACUGAAUAUUUAUUCAACGUAAAGAACAGCAAACCAGGACACAUAAAGAUAGAAAACAACACAAGAAUACUGUUAUUAGCUCCACAAACAAACUUUCACAACAAAAAUAAGAGCAAAACACCUUGAAGUCAAGAUUUAACAGAAAUAACAUUUCUGACAGCCUUUCUUAGAGCUACACAGUGGCAGGGAGGGCUGUGGGUCAAAUAACCAAACAAACCUUUUAGAUUUAACAAAAUUAACUCCAAUUAUUUCAUACUAGUUGGCCAUACAUUAAGACACUGCAAAUAUUAAGUCCAUAUAUUUUAUAUACCUCACAUAAAUCUUAAGCCAAGUACAUAACCUCACAAUUAUAUGUAAUUGCCCAGGGUUCACUGAAGAAUCUUGGGUUUCAAUUGUGUUUGAAAACAGUUCCACUUGAAAUCUAUUGCAACAUGCAUGUUACAGAGUAAGUCGAGUUCAUUAGGAGCUUGAUAAAGUAAAACGUGAAUCUUUCUUCUUAGUAUAUAACAUGUAAUCCUUAUUGUUUGGUCUCAAACCCAGAACCAACCAACAGAAUAAGCUGCAGAAUGUACUGGCUAGGCUGACCGAACACGUAAGCAAGAGGGACAUAAGGGCAGCAAAGUGUACAAAAAAAUCAGAAUCAAAUUUUACAUAAGUUUGUAAACGCAGAUGUAAAUGCUCAACUAGUGUGUUACAGGUGUCCUGUUGUAAAAGCAUUCUUGUGUUACAUUUCAAGAUAACAAAACUAAUCCUUAAAUGUGCCUUAAACUAAACAGGAUAUUAUUCAGCUAGCUAUUAAAAAAAGUUGAAGACAGUUAACAUUAUCUAUCUAGUGCCUCUUGUGGCAAUGUUGAGAAUGGGACUGAAACUAGCAUUGUAUUAUGGAUUGCAUUGCAAUGACAUGCAUCAAACUUGCACAACUAGAAGUGUCUAUGUUCACAUAUUUGUGUAGAGUUUUGAACAAUUUCAUUAAGAUGUGGCAGAACAACAACCUUUUUUUACAACAAUUACAAAAAUAAAAAUAAAUUAAAAAAUGUUUUUUUCUUAAAUUGACCCAUACUCCCUUGAUAUUUUUUGUGCAAGAAACUUAACAUCGAAGUAAAUAUGUAUAUAUGUAUGCUUUUAGGUAUGUAUAUAAAUACAUCCACCAUUAUGCAUUAUCCAUGGGCAAAUCAUUACCCCUGCACUUUUCUUUAAAGGUCAUUUGGCACAACUUAUAAUUUGGCUAUAAUCAUGUUGCAUGGCUGAGGCAGUCAGUCGUAAACAUAGCAGUUUGUUUUGAAGCAGGUUCUCCAGCACUGCACUUUACUUCAGACAAAUUUUGACUUUCUUUUCUGCACUGACAGUUACAGUAUGACUUUUAUUGCAAACAUAUAUCCAUGAUGCACAUCUCAGUAACUGUGAGACAGUAGAAGACUGUUUAUCUCAAAAAUACACUGAUGCAGAGGACAUCGAAUCGGUAUGUCAGAGAAAGCAGUUUUCUGCGUUCAAGGUGACUAAAAUUGCAAGUCAAAAAGUGUCGCCCUUACAAGAUUUAGUGGGAUUUCAGUCAUUCCCUAUGACACAGCCUACCGUAUGCCACGGCCUAUGUCCUUGUUCUAUCAACCUUUUGGUAUUGAAUCACAGUGUAAUACGACAUAAAAUAUCUAGCAUGUGUAGCAUGAGUACAACAAGCAUGACAUGAUGAACCACCAAGAGGAUCAAGAUUGAUGUCGUCCAAAAAAUAAAUAAAAAUAAAACACGAAGAUAAUGUUCAUCUUAUACUAUUACAAUAAUAGAAGCCUGAAAUGUGUACCUAUGCUUUCCUUGAGCUUUCAUACUUCAGUUUCUCAUACCAUAACAAGAAUAAGGCAUUUUGUAAAGAACAAGUCACAUGUCAAACCCAGACAAUUGUGAAAAGAAACCAGAAAACUCAAAAUGAUUACAUCUACCAGUUCCACUAACCACAAGGUUGUGUCAGAUGCUUUGGGACAUGCAGAAAAUAGCUGGAUUCACUUUUUUUUCUUUUUAAUACAGUAUAUACAGAGAGCCUGUACAUCAGAUUGUACAUUAAACAUUUAGAAAACUGCACACAAGGUGGUACAUCUAGCAAAGCUAGCAUAAGGCUAGUGUUAGUAGCCAAGAUGCUAACCAUUCAACGUGAUCCAGAAAUUUUAGACCUGAAAAACACACAAGUGGGACUUCAAAAUGUGUAAUCAAGUUUUAAAGCAAUAGUUUAAGCGGUAAAUCAGCAACAUUUGGAAAGUUUUUCAGUCAGAAUUCAUCAGUGCUAACUUUACCAAUUAGCAUUUGUAGUGCUGUACUACAGUACAUUUUAGACAAGUAUGCCGACAAAGUUUACAGAAGUAAUUCUUAUGGUAAUCAACACGACUACGUUUCCCAAGUAUCCUAUUUCAAGUGGGCUGACAACAUCUAAAAAAAUAAAAAUACAACUUUUACUUGUUCUUACAUGUGAAUAAACUAUCAUGCCACUACUCUGCUGAAAAAAAAACAGCAUAUGCUGGUUAGGUAUGUUUUGACGCUGGGAUGCUGG